rnacentral:lncRNA from 1 species
AUUCGAUUCUCAUUUUAGCCAGAAUUGUGCAGCUCUAGAAUGCAGAUUACCAAAAUAAGUGAUCAUCUGUAAUUAACCCUUCCAUAUUUUGAUCCACUUUAGGACGCAGAGGCAGAAAAAGAAAAGUCGAGGAAGCUUUUCAGGAUGAUGAAAAUCAGGAGGACUUGAUGCUGCCACCUCAGUUCCCUGAUGAAAGGGAUAAACCCAGCCCCAGCUCAGUUGAAGAAGCUUCUCAGGUUGAUGAAGAUCAGGAGGACUUGAUGCCGGCAGCAAGCAGUGAACCAUCACAGUUUCCUGAUGAAAUUGAAGAACCCGGCACCAGCUCAGGUCAGUUUACUUUGAUAAAAACAAUGUAGGUGUGUUUACAUGGAGCCUUUAAAUUGGUUUAA